rnacentral:rRNA from 1 species
CGACAAGCGGUGGAGUAUGUGGUUAAUUCGAUGCAACGCGAAGAACCUUACCUGGUCUUGACAUCCCGGAGACCCUUAGGAAACUAGGGGUGCUUCCAUCUGGAAGAAUCUGGAGACAGGUACUGCAUGGCUGUCGUCAGCUCGUGUCGUGAGAUGUUGGGUUAAGUCCCGCAACGAGCGCAACCCUUGCCUUUAGUUGCCAGCAGUUCGGCUGGGCACUCUAAAGGGACUGCCGGUGUUAAACCGGAGGAAGGUGGGGAUGACGUCAAGUCCUCAUGGCCUUUAUGACCAGGGCUACACACGUACUACAAUGGCCGAUACAAAGGGCAGCGACACUGCGAGGUGAAGCCAAUCCCGUAAAAUCGGUCUCAGUCCGGAUUGGAGUCUGCAACUCGACUCCAUGAAGUUGGAAUCGCUAGUAAUCGUGGAUCAGCAUGCCACGGUGAAUACGUUCCCGGGCCUU